UACGUAGGGGGCAAGCGUUGUUCGGAAUUACUGGGCGUAAAGGGCGCGUAGGCGGCACGGCAAGUCAGGAGUGAAAGCCCGGGGCUCAACCCCGGAAUGUCUUUUGAAACUGCCGAGCUAGAGUGCGGAAGAGGCAACUGGAAUUCCCAGUGUAGCGGUGAAAUUCGUAGAUAUUAGGAAGAACACCGGUGGCGAAGGCGGCCCACUGGAUCGGUACUGACGCUGAGGUGCGAAAGCGUGGGGAGCAAACAGG
rnacentral:rRNA from 1 species